rnacentral:lncRNA from 1 species
CCCCCCCCCCCCCCUAACUUGAGGUGUUUAAGCUUUUUGGGGGAAAAAGUGAUUUUAGGAAGAAGCAAAAGUAGUUUCUGAGAAGCAGAAAAAAGUAGUUUCUUCCCAAAAGCAGAAGCAGUUUUGACUUUUCUUCUUACCAAAAAUACCCAUAAUAAAAUAUAGUAUAUACUAAAAUAACCGUUAAACCUAAAGCUUAGGAUAUUAAUGUAUAAGUAUUUAUUCUUAUUUUUAUUAUAACUUUCUAAUAUAUAGUGACUUUAGGGGUGAAUACUUUUAUAUUUGUUGAAUGAUUUUUAAUAUAUUUAACUUUUAUUAAAAGAAUUAAGUACUUUUUAAUUUUAUUUUCAUAUUUUAUUUAAAUAAAAUGAAAAGAUUUAAUUAUUGCCUAUAAUAACAAAAUUUUGAGAUUAUUUAAAUACUUAUAAUAUUAACUAUUAAGUAAAUCUAUCCAUGUACUUAUUCGUAAUUUGAUACUUAAAAGCACUUUAUGAAAAGCUUGGCCAAACACAAAUUAUUGUUCAAAAGUGCUUUUCAAAGUGAUUAACCAAACACAAACUGCUUCUCUCCAAAAGUACUUUUUUCAAAAGUACUUCUCAAAAUAAGUAGAUUUCUCCAGCUUGGCCAAAAAUGCUAUAAAAUCUUGAUCCUCAAAUUGCUUAUCAGGCUUAAGAAUUAGGAAUAAGUAUGUGAUCGUACAUUUUCUGAAAUGUUCUCUAACGAGGCUAGUUCUUUUGACAAGAUGCCAACAGCAUAACCUGUCUCUUCCUGAUCAAUUAAGAGCAUAUUGGAGGAUAGUUUGCACUAGGUCGCAAUAGCCUAGUCACAAAUGACUAGUAUUAUACUGCAGUUUUAUCCAACCGACUUAGUUACCUUCAGAUGGUUGUAUACAUUGUCAUGUUUGCUUCAUUCUUUUUUAGUUGGCCUUCAUUAACAAUAGAAAUGAAUUUUAGGAGUUAUUAUAGGAGUUAUUCCAUUGGUUUAUUGUUUAUUUGCUAUAAUGAUCGUGUGGGAAGGGGAGCCUUGGCAUAACUGGUAACGUUACUGCCAUGUGACCAGGAGGUCAUGGGUUCGAGCCGUGGAAAUAACCUCUUGCAGAAAUACAUAGUAAAGCUGCGUAAAAUAGACCCUAGUGGUCCGGCCCUUCCCCAGAUCCCGCGCAUAGUUGGAGCUUAGUACAUCGGGACUAUAAUGAGCGUGUAGAAAUAUCGUGUUUUCUAGUUUUUCCUUUUUUUCUUCUCACAAGCCAAUGGAUUGGCAAAGGUCCAUAUGCUAGCCUAGGCAAGUUGGAUUGAAGUUCAAAGAUGUGAACUUACUAGAUUCAUAUGUCGGAUGGUUAAAUCUUAAGUUGCUCAGAGUCGAGUGUGGGUAUCCGAUACUUGUGCAGAUCUAGAGGUCCAGAUCGUUCAUGAUCUAACUUUUAAGAUUUGAGAAUACAAAUAUGGGUGCGGAGAUUCGGCUAAAAAUAAUUUAAAUAUCUAAAAAUAGAGUUAUAAAACAUCUAAAUUAUGAGAUAUGUGUGGAAAACUUACAAGGUAUUCAGAGAAGGAGAAAAUAUUGAUCAAUGGGAGAAUUCGAGUAGGAGAUAAAAGGUAAAUGACUAACAUAAAAAUUUCUAUAUAUAAGGUAUUCCAUUUUCUUCAAUUUCAGUCUAGCUUUUGUUUUGAUUUCAAGAAUCAUUGUAUCUGUCCGGAAUUUCUUCCAUUAAUUUUGGUCAAAGUACCCAAAAUCUGUUGAUAAGAUCAUGUACGGAUUCCACAUCCCCAUCGACACCCAUAUCGUGUCGACACGAUUACGGCACCGAAAUUGAAGAGUUCGAGCAACUUAGGUUAAAUUACAACCAAAAUGGAGCUAAAUCUAGCAGAGAUCCCGGUUCUGUUGUUGGAUUAAAGCUCUCGCACUUAUCAUUGAAUUCUAUGGAAGUAUCAAGAAACAGGUGAAUGGUUGUUUUACUAUAAAAAUAUAAAAACAAAUUACUAAACAGUACUACUAUUUUAUGUUAUCUCAAUUCGGAAGUUGUCUUCCGGUGAAAAUAAAUAUGAUUUGUCUUUUGGGAAAAUUUUAGAAAUUUAUUUUUUGUAAAAACAUCAAUGGUCAUAUAUCAGAUAUUGUGAUUCAACAAGCUUUCCUAUAUUCUUUGUUCUUCAAAAGUAAUGGGUAUAGUGAAGAGUUCCACAUGGGUGCUUUAGGGGAUGGGUGGUCCCCUUAAGAUGGUUUGGGCAAUCGUCACCUCAUGAACAAGUUUUAGGGGUUGAUUUAGAAAUAAUGUCCAUUUAAUAUGGUAUAAGUGCAGGACCCAUCCCAGUUGUCGUUUCUAGAUGUUGGUCCCCCAUAUUAAAUUGUCCAUGCUUCAAAUGUCCAGUCCUGGGCAUGAUGGGGUUGUGAGGGGCCCAUGUCGGUGCUUUAGCGGAUGGGUGGCCUCCUUAAGAUGGCUUGGGCAAUCCUCACUUCAUGAGCUAGCUUUUUGGGUUGAGUCAGGCCUACGGUCCAUUUAACAUAUAGUCCUGCAAUUACAGUGUCCAACCAUGAAAGUGCGGUUGACUUCUCGUGUCAAUUUAGGUUUUUAGUUUAAAAGGCUUAUACAAAGAAUAAUCGAAUGAGUUAUUUUCAACUUUUAGUUGGUAGAUUCUGUGUCCUAUGUCAAUUUUUAGAGUUAUUAUUACAUUAUUUCAGUGUUCCUCCUUGGCUAUGGUUUUACUGCCUUACUGAUUAUUAUGAAUAUUAAGAUGGCUAUCGUAACUUGAAAGUUGAGAUGAAGUAAUCCUUUUGCAAAUUAUUUCCAAUGACAACUCUCUGCUAUUGCAUGUGAUGUUUAAUCAAGGUCAAGUACCACAAGUUUCGUUUGUUCAUCUCCUUUCAGGAUUUGUAAUUACUGUUAUGGCAUGAUGUUGGAUAUUAAUUGGCAUUUCCUUGCUUUGGUCAAAAGUUGAUUGAAUUUGUUUAUUUCUUGUGCAUCACUUACAGGUUGUUCAGCAACAUCGCUUCUACAGUUAUGUGAAAAACAUGGUCUUGGCUUAACUGUUGAAUGUAUGGCAUUGAGUUCAACAUCUGAUAAUCUCUCUGAGGAACAUUCGCUCCCUCCCUCGGGUGAGGUCAGAGUUGUUCCGGACUUAUCAACCAAAUGCAGACUCCCUUGGUACUAGUUGCAAAUCUACGUAUUAUUUCUUGUAAUAUUCAAGGUUUUCUAAUCUAUUCUCUUGAAUUUAAGCUUAAGAUUUAGCUUCAGUAUGCUGUAUGUUGUCUUUUAUUAAACAGUUGUGUGUAAAUAAUCCUAGUCUCAUGUGUAGUAGGAGUAGAACAUGUACUAUAUAUAGGCUCAGUAUCAUUGUCCCGUGUAUUAUUUCUCACAAUAGUAUCAGAGCGUGAGUGAGAUACAUCCGGGAAAGUUGGACAGUUGUCGUGCGUCAAAUUCUGGUGGCUUUUUGGGGCUGAUUUGCGCCAGAUCAGUCUCUGUUCGUAUUGUGCGAAAACCAACACCACCACAGGGUCCCCAAGGCUUCCACAGCCAAAUCCCAAAAAGAAUUUCCGGCAAUUGACUCCUCACUCGUUCUCAUGCGCCGAUCAGAGGCCAGGUUUUUCGGCGAGAUCUACUCUACGCGCUGGUGCGCGUGGACCCUUUUCCGAUCACUUUUUAAAAAAAAUUCUUUGGAAUAGUAUGGUUGCCUCCCUUUUCCGAGCCUACCCAUACUAUUUUAUUUUUAUUCCGAUCAAUCUAAAAUUUUUGCAGUAGCGAUAGUAGUUUUUCGGCAGCUACAAUAUUUUUCCGGACGACACUCACAUGGAGAAUCCAUGGAAAGGAAAUGUCGGGUCUAGUCACUGUGAGAUAAUUUCAUUUAUCAACCAAUUACCUAUAUCUUGGAGGAUUGCUAAGCGGCCCCCCUGUCCUGGCAGGAGUUUAGAAUUCUGAUCCAUCAGAGUGUCAACAUAUCUACAACCUGUCAUUCAUGUCUGCUCAAGAAUGUCUAAGGCAUACUUUCAAUGUGAGAUCACCAUAUCUGAGCUACACUGAGCGACCUCAAUACCCAAAAAAGUAUAGGCAGACAUGAAGGAAUUUGAGAAGUUGAUGUCAGUUUCUGCUAGUCUUGAAAAGCAACAAGAGCAAUGACAAAAGAUGUUUCUAGUUCUUACACUCGCUGGGCUUCCUAAUGACCUUGAUUCAGUGUUUGACCAGAUUUUGGCUAGUCCGACCGUCCCUACAGUUGAUGAACUAUUCUCUCGAUUACUUUGUCUUGCUGUAGCGCCCAAUCACAUAGUGAUCUCAUCAUAGACAACUGACUCCUAUGUUCUUGCAUCCCAGAUAGUGGAAAAUCUGGUAUCUUAGGACAUGGAGAAUAGACGAGGAGGAGGUCGUUUUGGAAGGUCUCAACCCACGUGUUCUUAUUGUAAUAGGCUUGGGAACACCCAUGAGGUGUGUUACUCUUUGCAUGGUCGACCACGUAAAAUGCUCAUGUUGCUCAAAUAGAGACUGCAGGUAAUCAAAGGUUUUCUUUAUCAGAAGGGGAGUAUAAUGAGUUUCUUCAAUAUCGAGCAAGUAAGCAGACACCUCCACAAGUAGCCUCUAUUGCUCAGACUGAUACUUCUGUUGGUGGUAAUUCCUUUGUUUCUGUUUCCCAGUCUACUACUCUUGGACCAUGGGUCAUAAACUCAUACGCCUUUGAUCAUAUUUCUGGCAAUAAGUCACUUUUGUCAAAGAUUGUUAAUUCUCAGUCUCUUCCCCAUGUUACUUAGCUAAUGGAGUUCAAAACAAAAGCAAAAGGAGUUGGACAAGCUAACCCCUUAUCCUCUGUCACUUUAGAUUCUAUUCUUUAUGUUCCUAGUUGUCCUUUUAAUCUUGCAUCAGUUAGUCGGUUGACUCGCUCCAUCCGUUGUGGUAUAUACUUUAUUGAUGACUCUUUUGUUAUGUAGGACCGCAAUAUGGGACGGAUGAUUGGCACAAGGCCUUUACUACCUUGACUCACUCAAUCCUUCCACAACAUGUCCAGUUACAUAUUCUCCAGACCUAAUUCACAGACGUUUAAGACACCCAAGUUUAUCCAAGUUUCAAAAGAUGGUGCCUAGUCUAUCUAGUUUGUCUAUAUUAGAUUGUGAGUCGUGUCAACUUGGGAAACAUACUCGAGCCACUUUUUCGCAUAAUGUUGAGAGUCGUGCGGAGUCUAUUUUUUCUUUAGCUCAUUUUGAUAUAUGGGGUCCUAGUAGAGUCAGUUCAACCUUAAGGUUUCAUUAUUUUACUAGUUUCAUAGAUGAUUACUCAAGAUGCACUUAGAUUUUCCUAAUGAAAGAUCGUUCUGAGUUGUUUUCUAUAUUUCAGAGUUUUUGUGCUGAAAUAAAAAAUUAGUUUGGCGUUUCCAUUGGCGUAUUUCGUAGUGAUUAUGCCUUAAAAUAUUUAUCCUCCCAAUUUCAGUAGUUUAUGACUUUUCAAGAAAUUAUUCAUCUGACAUCUUGUCUGUAUACCCCUCAGCAGAAUGGGGUAGCAGAGAGAAAGAAUAAACACCUCACUAAGACUACUCGCACACUUCUAAUUGAGUUUCAUGUUCCGCUGUGUUUUUGGGCAAUGCAGUUCUCACAACUUGUUAUUUGAUUAAUCAGAUGCCUUCAUUGUUCAAUCAAUAGCGACUCCGUAUUCAGUAUUGUUUCCUCAGUCUUAUACUAUCUUCCCCCUUGUAUGUUUGGGAGCACAUGUUUCGUUUGUAUGGAAGCGAUAAAUUAGCUCUCCGUGCUCUUAAGUGUGUCUUCCUUGGUUGUUCUCGAGUUUAAAAGGAAUAUCGUUGCUACUCACAUGAUCUUCGUAGGUACCUUAUGUCAGCCGAUGUCACAUUUCUUGAGUCUCGACCUUACUUUACCCCUUCUGAACACUUUGAUAUUAGAGGUCUUACCUAUACCAACUCUUGAGGAGUUUACUAUAACUCCUUCUGCAUCUUUUGCCACAAAAGUCUUACCAAUACUAACCAUUGAGGAAUCUAGUAUUGCUCCUCCUAGAUCCCCAGCCACAGGAACACCACUUUUGACUUAUCAUCGGUGUCCACAUCUAGCAUUAGGCCCGACUGAUUCACGUCCUGCACCUGACCCUGCUCCUACUUCAGAUUUGUCUCAUCCUAGUCAACUGAUUGCACUUCGAAAAGGUAUAUGGACCACACUUAAUACUAAUCCCCAUUAUGUCUCUUUAAGUUAUCAUCGUCUGUCAUUACCCCAUUAUGCGUUUGUAUCUUUUUCGUCCUCUAUUUCCAUACCUAUGUCUACAGGUGAUGCAUUGUCUUAUCUAGGAUGGCGACAGACUAUGAUUGACGGGAUGUUUGAUGUACACACGGGAUGUUUGUUGUUCGCCAUUGGCCUCACUAUCAGUUGGACAUUAAGAAUGCCUUUCUUAAAGUGAUCUUGAGGAUGAAGUUUGUAUGGAGAAACCACUUGGCUUGUAGCUCACGGGAGUGUAGUGGUCUUGUUGCUUGCGCCGGUCACUUUAUUGUCUAAAGCAGUCUCCUCGAGCCUGGUUUGGUAAGUUCAACACAGUUAUCCAAGAGUUGAGCAUGACUCGUUGUGAAGCUGAUCAUUCUGUGUUUUAUCGGCAUUCUGCUUCAAAUCUCUGUAUUUAUAUGGUGGUUUAUGUUGACGAUAUUGUUAUUAGCGGCAAUGAUCAAGAUGGUAUUAUUAAGUUGAAGCAACAUCUCUUUCAACACUUUCAGACUAAGGAUCUGGGCAGAUUAAAGUGUUUUCUGGGUAUUGAGGUCGCUCAGUCUAGUUCAGGUAUUGUGAUCUCACAAGGAAAGUAUGCCUUAGACAUUCUUGAGGAGACAGGAAUGACAGGCUGUAUACCUGUUGACACUCCGGCGGAUCUAAAUUCUAAACUUCUACCAGGACAUGGGGAGCCGCUUAGCGAUCCUGCAAGAUCUAGGUGGCUGGUUGGUAAAUUAAAUGACCUCACAAUGACUAGACCUGACAUUUCCUUUCCUUUGAGUGUUGUAAGUUAGUUUAUGGAUUCUCCAGGUGAUAGUCAUUGGGAUACAGUCGUCCGCAUUCUUCGAUAUGUAAAGUCAGCUCCAAGCAAAGGAUUAUUGUUUGAGGAUCGAGGCCAUGAGCAAAUCGUUGAGUGUGAGCAUGUGAUUUUUGCCCUAUAUAUGAAUUACUCCCAGAAAAUUCAAAAAUAAAAUAAUUUUUGUUUGUUUGCAAUUGUUGGGAAUUUUCUGUUAUUUUUCUUGUAUUAUUUGCAUUUUUGCAUGGCAUGUUUAUUUGUUAAAUUAAUAAAAAAUACAAAAAUAUGUCGCAUUUGUAUUUAAGAUUUAAUUCUACAAUUAGGAGUAAUUAAGUUUGUUUUACAAAAUAAAAAUUACAAAAAUAGGCAUUUUUUGCUUUUUUAGCCUUUAAUGUCCAAAUUGUGUGAUUGUGUUUUAAUUGUAAUUUAAUUUUAGGUGAUAAUUAUUAUUAGGAGUUAAUUAUUGUUUUUAAGUUAAUUUAGUUUAUAAUUUAAUUUAGAAUUUUAGUUUUUAUUAAUUAGCUUAAAAAAAAGAACAAAAAAUAGAAGGAGUCAAAAUUGGGCCAAUUCUUGAAUUAAUCCCCAUGCCCAAACCAAUUUUACCCUACACCCAACCAAACCAAGCCCAAACCCUUAAAAAUCUGAUCCACCCCAUCUCCCCACUCAAUCUUGACCAUUGAUCUCUAGUAGAUCCAACGGCCCGGAACUCACCCAUUUUUUAAUAUAAAAACUGUUUAAAAAAACCUACCUCCCUCAUUUCCAAACUCCCCAUUCUUCCACUUCUCUCUCAACUCUCAAUACCUAGAGCUCCCCAACUCUCUCUCUUCUCUCUCCUUCCAUUUUCCGCUGCCACCCUCCGCCAUCGGUGCCACCGCCCGCCGGAAAUCUCCACCGGCGGUGGCCAACCUCCAAAAAGCUUCAAAAUAACGUCAAUCUUCUCCUUUUCUUCUCCUCUACCUCACCUCACCACUUAAACCCAUAAAAAACCAACCAUCAAAGAGUUAAGAAAUGGCCGAAACUCCCCCCCCCCCCCACCGGCGGCACCGCCGCCGGAAAUAGCCGGCGCCGGCGACAGAAACUCCAAAAACCCUCAAACUCAUACCAUACACUUCUCUCAUCCUCUUAAACUUUAUCCUACCAACCAAAUCCCCAAAAACCCAACCAAAAUCCGUAGAUCUUGGAUCUAAAAUGCCAAAACCCUAGAUCUACUUCUUUUUUCAUUUUUUCUAGUCAUUAUAAAAUCCUCCGGUCAAGAUCUUCCAUCAAAGAUCUUAGAUCCAAGACGGGAGUCUUAGCUUGAGGUUUUUU